GACGAACGCUGGCGGCGUGCCUAAUACAUGCAAGUCGACCUGAGUUGCGAACGGGUGAGUAACGCGUAGGACCCUGCCUGGUAGUGGGGGAUAACGUCCGGAAACGAGCGCUAAUACCGCAUACUAUCAGAUGAGCCUAGGUCGGAUUAGCUAGUUGGUGGGGUAAAGGCCUACCAAGGCGACGAUCCGUAACUGGUCUGAGAGGAUGAUCAGGCAAACUGGAACUGAGACACGGUCCAGACUCCUACGGGAGGCAGAAGUGGGAAAUAUUGGACAAUGGGCGAAAGCCUGAUCCAGCCAUGCCGCGUGUGUGAAGAAGGUCUUCGGAUUGUAAAGCACUUUAAGUUGGGAGGCGUUACCAACAGAAUAAGCACCGGCUAACUUCGUGCCAGCAGCCGCGGUAAUAC
rnacentral:rRNA from 1 species